rnacentral:lncRNA from 1 species
UUAGGACAAUGAGGGUCUGUGUCCCCUAAGUUUCUAGUGCAUUGGUAGUUCUUAAUAUGGGCAUAGUAUGUGUUCCAUAGAAUAUGUGUUGAGAUCAACUUGCAGGAUUUGAUUCUCUCCUUCUACCAGUGUGGGUCCCAGGGAUCAAACACAGACCUUCAGGUUUGACUGCAAACACCUUCUACCCACUGAACCCUCACUCCCACCCCCCACCCCCAGGCUUAGUGGUUUUUAUUAACUAUAUUUGACCCAUUUUAUUGUGUAUUUUCAUCUUGGGGGGAUGGGUACACAGUGUCCCCUGUCUCUGUUUUGUGACUCAAACAGCCACCAAGCACCUAGCUCUAUCAUUGCAGUAGGGCCUUGUGAAAUGGUCAAAUUCUGUCUUUCCUUCUUAGCUGAUGAGCUGGAAUGUUGACAAGCUUUUUCUCUGACUUCUUACUCCAGGAAGUGCCUUAGUCCGUUCCCCCAGUCCCAAGGAGAGAGCGUUCCCUCAGACUCAGCCGCCAGUGGAGUUCGUGCCCCCAGAAACACCCCCUGCCAGGGAUCAGUGGGUCCCAGAUGAGACUGAGAGUGUCUGCAUGGUCUGCUGCAGAGAGCACUUCACUAUGGUAAGCAGCCUCUGCCCUCAGCAUCACCCCAGGGAGAGAAAAGCAGAGUGCCAGGUUGUGAGCUUGAGUUCUUAGUCAGCUGUCCCUAAGCGGACAGUGAUGUUUUCAGAUCACCAACCCUGUGACUGCGUCUGCCUUUGACCUGACUGAGCACAUUCUUAGGACCCGUUCAUUAGGAGACAUCCUCAGAUAGCCUUAAGUUAUAAAACCAUUGUCAUUCUCACUGGGUAAUUAAAAACAGGCAGGAGUCGCCAAAUCUUCAGGGAUCCGAUAUCUAAUCCCCGUGUCUUUCACAAUAGGACAGUGAUCUGAUAAUAGUUGUGUAUGCUAGCUCAGGAGAGAGAAGACUCAACUCCUCAGCUCUGCUUCCUAAUAACAAUGUGACUGUAAACGUUUUCAAUCUCAUGGGCCUCUUGUAAGCUACGGUUGGUAUGUAAGUUGCCUCAUGGAGCUGUUAAAACUACAUAUAAUUGAUUAUGGUACCACAGUUAAUACCAGUACCUGUCUAGCAGACAGCACUAAUGUCAACAGCAGUGAUGUAAUUUCUCUAUAUCUCUUUCCUCAUCUAUGAAAGAGUAUAAAAUGACUCUCAACCUCUAACUGUAAAAUGGAGCAAUCCUUUAAAAACACAAGCAGCUGGAGAGGCUUGCGUACGCAGCUCACUUGGAAGAGUGGUGGCCUCUCAUGGACCAAGCCCCUGUUCAGUCCCAGUACUUCUUAAAAUGGAUGUGAUGAUACCCAUACUCAAGAGGCAGAGACAGGAGGACCAGCAGUUCAAUGUCAUCUCUCCGCUGUGUAAUGAGUUUGAGGCCAGCUUGAGCUACAAGAGACAGCAGGAGUCAAAAAAAAAAAAAAAAGGCUGGAGAGAUGGUUAGUGGUUAGGAAUGCUUGCUGCUCUUACAGAAGACUCUCUACAAGUGUGGUCAUCACUGGCUAAGCAAAGCUCUUCUUCCUUACUAAAAUUCUUUAAUGUUUUUGUGUUAUUAAACAUGGAAUCUGUUAAUAAUGCAGAUUAACUAUCUGUAGCCCCCAUGCAAACACUGUUGCCCUCAGAGCCCGCAAGCUUGUAGAAGCCGUGGCUUUUGUCUUAGUCUCUGCUUGGGCCGUUUCCUCAGUCGCCAGACUCCUACACUGCAGCCACAUUCAGAAGAAGCUCGGCAGUUAUUUUACCAAACGGCCGGGGAGAGCGAGACUCUGAGGCCCCUGCUAGAUUUUACUAUAGUUCAGGCUGGCUUAGAACUCACUGUGUAGCCUAGGCUGGCCUCAAACUCUCAGCAAUCCCCCUGCCUCAGCCUCCCGAGUGCUAGGAUUAUAGGUGUGAGCCACUGUGCCCACCUUCCCUGUUGCUUCUUCCAGCGUCUCCACACGUUGCUUCCAUACAGAGGCAAACUCUGUCAGGAACUGUUAGUUGCAAGUGGCAGAGGACUUAGAACAUUUGGUCUUCAGCUGAGUGAUACGUUAGAGUGUCCGUUUGGUAGGCUUUUGGUUGUUUUCUUUUUCUUUUCUUUCAUGUGUAUGGGGGGAGGGGUGUUGAGAAUCCAACCCAGGACCUUAUGUACUAAGCUAAAAACCCAUUCCCCUAAAUGACCUUUCUGGGGACAAAGGCUAGUGUGAUCAUGUUCAGUAAAAACCCAAGUGCCCAGUAUUCUUAAUUGACC